AGUUUGUGAGCGAAAUUCCUGCACAAUAUGAUGUUUCUUUUUAGCUUAGAUUGUAACUCUAAGAUUAUUUUCACAAAAUUUUUAGUUUAGGGUAGAACAGGGCAGUGAGAGAUGUGCAUGGAGUGGCAGUUUAUCUUUUGUGUCACGGUUUCAGUUACUGGUUGCUGUGAGAACAGUUAGACUCAUUACAAUCCAAUUUUCUUAAAGCUUCAAAAGUUCCGGGAGUCUAACGCCGAAGCUGGAAUUUUCCUACAGUGAAAGAAAUGACCCUUCACCCCUCCAGUUUGAAAUCACAAGGGAGGUGAAGGGAUACACCACACCAGAGGCUGACGGUCAAAUGGAAGAACAGCAAUCACCAGAGCCAGUUGUCUCUACCGGAGAGCAUCAGUCAGGAAGGAGUUGACAACUGAGCUGCCCUGGGGAAGGAAGCUUCUCAGAAAUAAUUUCAUCAGGGGAGAAUAAUUUCAGUAAACCUCGUAUUCAAAGUUGCUGAAGAUUUUGCUUUGCUUCAUGAGAACAUCAUACGGCAUGUGCAGGACAACCAGAGGAUCAGGCCCAGCCAGCAUGGAUUCAUGAAAAAGAGGUGAUCUUUUGUACAGAAGAAUAGAAACCACCCAAGUUCGACUCCUGGACUGCCUUGCAGAGGGAUCCUUUUCUCUCUGCUGAGAGACCUGAUUUUGACACCGAAGUUGGAAUAUGCCAGGACAAACAUCUCAAUAAACAGACACUUACAAUUUUCUGUUUGAAAGAACCUCCACUUUUCUGCCACCAAACUGUCAUGGAGCUCAUUACCUCCGAUGAGGUGAGCAAUGGUGUGGAAUAAACGGACCUCCUGUGAGUG